UACAGAGGUCUCAAGCGUUGUUCGGAUUCAUUGGGCGUAAAGGGUGCGUAGGUGGCGCUGUAAGUCGGGUGUGAAAUUUCGGAGCUUAACUCCGAAACUGCAUUUGAUACUGCGGUGCUUGAGGACUGGAGAGGAGACUGGAAUUUACGGUGUAGCAGUGAAAUGCGUAGAGAUCGUAAGGAAGACCAGUGGCGAAGGCGGGUCUCUGGACAGUUCCUGACACUGAGGCACGGAAGGCCAGGGGAGCAAACGGG
rnacentral:rRNA from 1 species